rnacentral:rRNA from 1 species
AUUGAACGCUGGCGGAAUGCUUUACACAUGCAAGUCGAACGGCAGCACGGGUGCUUGCACCUGGUGGCGAGUGGCGAACGGGUGAGUAAUACAUCGGAACGUACCCAGUUAUGGGGGAUAACUAACCGAAAGGUUAGCUAAUACCGCAUACGCCCUGAGGGGGAAAGCGGGGGACCGUAAGGCCUCGCGUAAUUGGAGCGGCCGAUGUCUGAUUAGCUAGUUGGUGAGGUAAAGGCUCACCAAGGCGACGAUCAGUAGCAGGUCUGAGAGGAUGAUCUGCCACACUGGAACUGAGACACGGUCCAGACUCCUACGGGAGGCAGCAGUGGGGAAUUUUGGACAACGGGCGAAAGCCUGAUCCAGCCAUUCCGCGUGAGUGAAGGAGGCCUUCGGGUUGUAAAGCUCUUUCGGCAGGGAAGAAACGCUCUGGGUUAAUACUCCGGGGUAAUGACGGUACCUGAAGAAGAAGCACCGGCUAACUACGUGCCAGCCGCCGCCGUAA